UGACAGAAAUAAAGUUUACAGAAGUCAUGUUCCUGCGAUAAGAAAUAAAGAUGUGACCUUCUAGUUGUGUAAAGCUCUUAAAUGCUGAGUAAGUGCGUCGGUGCGCUAAGGAACGUGGAGCUAAAUGGGCUAGUUGUGAGAGAGAGAGACUUAACUAUGUUAACAAAGGGAUUGAAUAAAUCGGCCACUUUGGUGCACAUGUGUCCUUCGAAUGGUCCACUUGGAGAUGGAGGUUUAGAAAUUGAGUUUCAGUCUUGUUUAAGUCUCUUCUCAUCAGACUGGUCUCGUGAUUUCCUACACACCACGUUACUUCCUGUGUACCUUUUCUUGGUGUUGUUCAUGCCUGGAGUGUCUCCUGUGCCUGCUCAA